GGGGGUAUAGCUCAGUUGGUAGAGUGCUUGUUUCACAAGCACAAGGCCCUGGGUUCAAUCCCCAGCAUGCCCCCC